GUGUUUGUUUACUAACACAUAUGUCAAAAUUGGAACGAUACAGAGAAGAUUAGCGUGCCCCUGCGCAAGGAUGACACGUACAAUCGUGAAGCGUUCUAAAUUUUU